UUAAGCGCGCGCCAGGCGGUCUUUUAAGUCUGAUGGGAAGCCCGGCUCACCGUGGAGGGUCAUGGAAACUGGGAGACUUGAGUACAGAAGAGGAGAGUGGAAAUUCCACGUGUAGCGGUGAAAUGCGUAGAUAUGUGGAGGAACACCAGUGGCGAAGGCGACUCUCUGGUCUGUAACUGACGCUGAGGCGCGAAAGCGUGGGGAGCAAACAGGAUUAGAUACCCUGGUAGUCACGCCGUAAACGAUGAGUGCUAGGUGUUAGGGGUUUCGAUGCCCUUAGUGCCGAAGUUAACACAUUAAGCACUCCGCCUGGGGAGUACGACCGCAAGGUUGAAACUCAAAGGAAUUGACGGGGGCCCGCACAAGCAGUGGAGCAUGUGGUUUAAUUCGAAGCAACGCGAAGAACCUUACCAGGUCUUGACAUCCUUUGACCACCCUAGAGAUAGAGCUUUCCCCUUCGGGGGACAAAGUGACAGGUGGUGCAUGGUUGUCGUCAGCUCGUGUCGUGAGAUGUUGGGUUAAGUCCCGCAACGAGCGCAACCCUUGAUCUUAGUUGCCAGCAUUCAGUUGGGCACUCUAAGGUGACUGCCGGUGACAAACCGGAGGAAGGUGGGGAUGACGUCAAAUCAUCAUGCCCCUUAUGACCUGGGCUACACACGUGCUACAAUGGAUGGUACAAAGAGCAGCGAAACCGCGAGGUCGAGCCAAUCUCAUAAAGCCAUUCUCAGUUCGGAUUGCAGGCUGCAACUCGCCUGCAUGAAGCCGGAAUUGCUAGUAAUCGCGGAUCAGCAUGCCGCGGUGAAUACGUUCCCGGGCCUUGUACACACCGCCCGUCACACCACGAGAGUUUGUAACACCCGAAGUCGGUGGGGUAACCUUUGGAGCCAGCCGCCUUAUGUGGACAAGAAU
rnacentral:rRNA from 1 species